CUACGGGCCGCUGCAGUGAGGAAUAUUGCACAAUGGGGGGAACCCUGAUGCAGCAACGCCGCGUGGAGGAUGACGCAUUUCGGUGUGUAAACUCCUUUUAUAUGUCAAGAAAAUGACGGUAGCAUAUGAAUAAGCACCGGCUAACUCCGUGCCAGCAGCAGCGGUAAUACGGAGGGUGCAAGCGUUACUAGGAAUCACUGGGCGUAAAGGACGCGUAGGCGGGUUGGAAAGUCAGGUGUGAAAUCCUACAGCUUAACUGUAGAACUGCACUUGAAACUUCUAAUCUAGAGUAUGGGAGGGGGAGAUGGAAUUAGUGGUGUAGGGGUAAAAUCCGUAGAUAUCACUAGGAAUACCUAAAGCGAAGGCGAUCUCCUGGAACAUUACUGACGCUAAGGCGUGAAAGCGUGGGGAGCAAACAGGAUUAGAUACCCCGGUAGUC
rnacentral:rRNA from 1 species